rnacentral:tRNA from 1 species
AUUACUUUGGCAGAUUAGUGUAUUAAAUUUAGAAUUUAAUUUAAAAUAUAAUAAAUAUUUAUAUAAGUAAUA